UGGAAUGGUAUAGCAGAAGAAGAAUUGAAUCUUAUUCCCAUAAAUCAAGUAAAGUUAAACAUCUCUUUUCUUUUUACUUCAUACUUAUCCUAAGCUUGCAAAAAUCACUGUGGGGUAGUUUAUUUUACUCUAUAGUUCCAAUAUGGGUAAUUCUAAUAUAGGUAUGUGCUCCAUGUGAAUACUUCUUAGCAACAAAAUAUUUACUACUGUAACACAAAGAAUCAGAUGCAAAAACAGUUCAAUUUCUCAACCAAUAAACUAAGAAGUUCAAAUUAAUUCCCGUUAUACUCACCCUUUGUUUGGCCUGUCCUUUUUAUCUUUUCGACAGCAGCUGAAUGACUGUGAAGAAGAUGUUGGAUAAAGUGGAUGAUCUUGACAUGGACAAAGUGAUAGAGGAAUUUGAGAGGCUUACAAAGGAUGCUGAUCUGGUUUAGAAUACUUAUGGAUCUCUAUUCUUGGCUUCCCUUCAGGACUUUUCUUUUUACUUCAUUGGAUUCUAAUAUAACUGAUAGAGAUUCAAUCUAUAAACAAUUUUAAAUAUGAACGCUUCUGUAAUAUAAAAGGAACGGAGGUACCAUUAAGAAGAGAAUGAAAUCACUAACAUGGAUGUCAUAAGAAAU
rnacentral:lncRNA from 1 species